rnacentral:rRNA from 1 species
AUCCUCGAGAGUGGCGAACGGGUGAGUAAUACAUCGGAACGUGCCCAGUCGUGGGGGAUAACGUAGCGAAAGCUACGCUAAUACCGCAUACGACCCGAGGGUGAAAGCAGGGGACUCGCAAGAGCCUCGCGCGAUCGGAGCGGCCGAUGGCAGAUUAGGUAGUUGGUGGGGUAAAGGCCCACCAAGCCUGCGAUCUGUAGCUGGUCUGAGAGGACGACCAGCCACACUGGGACUGAGACACGGCCCAGACUCCUACGGGAGGCAGCAGUGGGGAAUUUUGGACAAUGGGCGAAAGCCUGAUCCAGCCAUACCGCGUGCGGGAGGAAGGCCUUCGGGUUGUAAACCGCUUUUGUCAGGGAAGAAAUACUUCGGGCUAAUACCCUGGGGUGAUGACGGUACCUGAAGAAUAAGCACCGGCUAACUACGUGCCAGCAGCCGCGGUAAUACGUAGGGUGCAAGCGUUAAUCGGAAUUACUGGGCGUAAAGCGUGCGCAGGCGGUUCUAUAAGACAGAUGUGAAAUCCCCGGGCUCAACCUGGGAACUGCAUUUGUGACUGUAGAGCUAGAGUACGGUAGAGGGGGAUGGAAUUCCGCGUGUAGCAGUGAAAUGCGUAGAUAUGCGGAGGAACACCGAUGGCGAAGGCAAUCCCCUGGACCUGUACUGACGCUCAUGCACG